rnacentral:lncRNA from 1 species
UCGGUGCCCAGCCCCCACCCAGGCGUCUCAAUUUUUGGUGACUGUGCCAGUAGUUCAUAUGAUCUGUUGGGUUCUCACUCUGCUUUUCAGAACUCCGACUUACUGCUACACUCUUCUCUGCAUCUGGAGAUUCCUCCGGUUCGGUUGAUCUUUUCGUCAAGUAGGUGACUUUCCAGGGUGUGGGAUCCCUUUCUCCUCCACAGUUCCCUUUCAGGAGCACCCGUCCAGCUCGGAUUCACCUUCUCUCACUCUCCUCUUUUCUCUUGUUUUACCUAGUAGUGUCACGAGAUUCUUGCCAUUAUUGGAGUUUAGGUUCCUCUGCCAGUGAUUGAUUGCUCUUCUGUGCAAGUCGUUUAUCCUGUAGAUGUGUUUUUUGUUGUGUUUGUGGGAGAGGGCGAGUGUGUCCCCCUACUCUUCCACCAUCUUGUCUCCUUCUCUAGUUUUAAAUUUUUUUUUCCCACUGUACAGCAAGGGGGUCAGGUUAUCCUUAGAUGUAUACAUUGCAGUUACAGUUUUUUCCCCCACCCUUUCUUCUGUUGCGAUAUGAGUAUCUAGACAUAGUUCUUAAUGCUAUUCAGCAGGAUCUCCUUAAAUUUUUUAAGUUAUAAUAACAAUUUAAAAAUAUUACAUAAACCUUUAAUUAUGUCAACAUAUGUUAAAUUGAAAACAUGCCCCAUAUGGUUAAAAAAAUCUUGAAACCAUUCUUCAUAGGAUUAACAGAAACAGAUCAUUAACGGACAUUCUUUUUUUUAAUUUUUAAAAAAUUUUCUUGAACUAUAGUUGAUUUGCAAUGUUGUGUUAAUUUCUACUAUUUAGGAAAGUGAUUCAGUUAAACAUAUACACAUAUCCAUUCCCAUAAAGUUAUCACAUAAUAUUGAGUAGAUUUCCCUGUGCUAUACAGUAGGUCUUCAUACAAAACAGCAGAUAAGGGAAUAGCUUGUUACAAACUCUUACCCUGUAACACAACAAAACUGCUGAAACUAAAUGGAAUUAAUGUCACUGAUAAGAGUUUGUGCUUACAAGAAACUUGCUUGUCUAGGUAGGGGACUUUUUGACAUUAGAGGGACAAAACUCCACCUUCAGGGCAUACUAAUACCACUAUUUUCGAAACAUGCAUUCCAUGAAGAAGUGUGUAAAUCAGAUAUGCCUGCAUAGAGAAGGGAUUACCUCACCUUUUUCCUGCCUCCAACCAACCUCCUCUGAAUCUCCAACCACCCUAUUCUCUUCAUCCAUAAGUAUUCCAAACCUCUUGCCUUUGGAGAGGUGAAUCUUAGACUUGUUCUCCCUCUUCUUUGUUGGCUGUCUUGUGAAUAAACCCUCUCUCUGCUGUAAAUCUUGGGGUCACAGUGUUUGGCUUGCUGCUUUUUGGGCCAUGGAACCUGGUUUCAUAUCAAAAUCUUUAAUAGUUUUGAAUAGAAACUGCCUACUUUAACUUUUAAUUAUUGCCACAAUUUAUAUCUUUUCCUGAAAUGUAAGACAAUAUUUUCCUGACUAUCCCUGAAUAUUUUCAUUAAACGAGCAAAAUUUGAUAGGUGAACAUUUUCAAUAUUUUCUUAACAUUAUGCCUUUAUUCAGUAAAUAUUAAUGCUGAACAUUGUUCUUAUGCUUACUUGAUAUGUGAUCUUGUUUUUCUCAUAAAUGAUUGUAGUUUCUUCUGUCAGUUUGUAUGAAAUGCAUAUUAAUGGAGGCAAUAAGGCUUAAUUUAAAAUAUCUGUUUCACUAAUUUUCCCCAACUAAUUGUUUGGAGACAUGAAGUUAAAAUGAAAUGGGAAAUACUCUACCCAAUAUAAUCUGUAUUUAUGAAUAAUCCAUGAACAUUCUGACCAAGUUAAAGGCAUUGAGUUCUUGGUAAAAUAUGUUAAAAUUUGUGUAAUGGCGUGACUUGUUAAAUGUCUCUUCAAUAUUUUCAAUAACUAAAAGUAUUGCCUUUAUACAGUCAUACACAUAUGUUCGUGAUAUAUAUAUGUCACUAUGUAUAUUCACACACAUACGAUUUUAGAAGUCAUUAAUUCUGUUUAUCUUCAUAAACUACCAGAACUUCAGUAGAAGACAUGGCAUUGCAAUCUGAAAAACUUCUAUGAAAGUAAGGUAUAAUAUUAUAAAAAUUAUUCAGUGAAGAAAAUCCAACAAAUCUAAACUAGAUAAUUAUAUAUGUUAUAUUGUAGCUAUAAUAAUGAAAGUUCAAAGGGGUGAAGUCAUGCUGUAGCAGACAUAACUAAAGUUUAGCUUGUUACUUUUUAUACUUGGCAAUUUAAAAAAAAAAACCUAAAGAAAACACCAUCAGUUUCAGUUUUAAUCUUUAUGUACCUCAGAGUACCAGAACACAAACCAAAAGAGGUAAAUUUAGGAAAUUUAUCUCUAUUAUUAGCAAAAGAUUUUUGAUAACCCUUUUCCUUCUUUGAAAGCUAUCUAACUAGAACCAUUACUCAUAGAAAAUUCUGGAAUCUAAUUUAAAUGCAAAAAAGUAGCUAUAGGUUUAAAAUAAUAAGGGCAUCCUGUAGAUAUAGGAAAAUAAUUUCCUCAUUUCAGUCAAUUCUAGAUUUAUGAAUCUAUGUUAAAAUAGAGAAUGCUUCUUAAGCAACAUCCCUUUAAAAAUUCUGAUAGAUUUUAAAACAUUAUUUUACAAUGUGUUUACUCUUUUAGCAUAUAGUAGACCCACCCUACAACAUGGUAGCAGCCAAUCUUUGAAGACCUGGCAACUAGAUAUCUUUUGGCCCCAACUGGGAACAAAUCAUAGCAAUAUGGAGAGUCAUUUGGUCACUCAGACCUAAAAUCUGGACUUCCAUUGGGCCAUAUUCUCAAAGGAAAUGAAUUUUUUAAAGGCCUGCAGAACUGCAGAAAAAGAGAUUUUGUUUGAAUUUGUGCUCUCUAUGGAGCAGAGCUUAGGAGAACAUGCACUAAAGGUCUGUAGAAUUAAUAACCAGAAGUCAUCAUUUACUGAAGGAAUGGAAGCCAAAUUCACACUUCCUGUGUUGCCUGAGAAAUUUCAAUUCAAAAAGUUAAAGUCUCAGCUUGCUAGAUCACACAGAGCCUGGGCAUAAGCAACCUAAACUCAAUACCCUUCUAUAUGAUUCACUUUAACAACAUAUCUCAAAUUAUUUUUAAAAUUAUGUUACAAGAAAAAUAAUAUUUACUAUUAAAAUCAUUAAAUGCUUAAGGAGAAAAAUAUCUGUCAUUAAUGAUGCCUCUCUCUUGAUCAGCAAAGUUUUUAUAAAUUGAGAUCAUGAGAAGGUAGUUGUUGAUAGUUAGGGUAGGAGUAGCGGUGGCAGGCAGAGCACUAAAAUCUAUGGGUGGGGAGGGCACCUCUGUGAAACAUAACAAAUAGGAUCAAAUAUUGCAAUAACAAGGACGAAUAUGGUUGAGUAUAUAGGACUGAGGAUUGGGCAUGAAAUGGAUCAAUGAAGUUAUAAUGCAGGAAGUUUAUGUGAAAUUCAGUUCUCAGUUAUCCUGGUCAAGCCAGCCUAAAACUAUAGCAAGCAAAAAGUUGAAUUAGCCAUGCCAGUGGAGUUUGAAAAAUUGACAAAAUAUCAAGAGAUU